AGGACCCUAGUAAAACGCACAUCACACUGCCUUGUCAAGGCAGAAUUGUGGGUUAAAACCCCACGGAUCCCG
rnacentral:tRNA from 1 species